UGGUGCCAGCAGCCGCGGUAACUCCAGCUCCAAUAGCAUAUAUUAAAAUUGCUGCAGUUAAAAAGCUCGUAGUUGGAUCUGGGUUCUGGUUUGGAGACUGCUUGCUYUUAGUGAAUUGAUUUCAUGAAGCUUUGGGCAGCGGUACUUCUAGGCCGAAUCUUCCAGCUGUGUCUGCAUAAGGCUUCGGCUUUGUGUAGAUAGAUUCGUUGUGUGUAAGUUCCCUCACGGGUCUUCACCUUCGUUUCUAUACGCUGUAAUGCCUUUAAYCGGGUGUUCAGUGUGGACAGCACGUUUACUUUGAACAAAUUUGAGUGCUCAAAGCAGGCC
rnacentral:rRNA from 1 species